GCAGGCCCGCGGCUCUUUUGCCCGUGAAGUCUUCGGUGGUGCCGCCGAAGCAGUUCGAGGAAGGCGGAUGCGAAGGCUUCGGGGUUCUCGCCGGGUACUUCAGGGACGAUCGCCGACGGUACCUUUUUCAGCUGAAUUCUAACAGCAAAUUACCUCAGUCAUGGAAGGGCGCAAUGUUGCUGUUGGUCUGGUACAGAGAGAAGCCGCAAAGGUACGAUCGAGCCUGGAAAGAUGUCAGUGGAAGGAUUACUAUUGAGUUGCAACAUCAGGAAAGGAAUCGUGAGGAAUGUCUACGUUUAUCCAGCAAAGCAAGUUCCUGUGACAACCAUCCACAGGCUUCCUCCCUGUUACGAUCUCCAGCAGGAAGACACCAAACGCGAAGACGUCGGUCUUCUCGUCCACGAUCCCGUGCAUGAAGUACUCCGGCGCCAAGCACCUGUCGACGUCACAAGCUCCGUUACCUGCUGCUGCUGGCGGUGUCUUCGGUUCUGAGAGUGAUGAUGAUGGUGUAAUGCUCAUACCCAAAGGUUCCUUCGAUCGGUGCGACGGCGCGGUGAGUCCACUCGGAUGGAAGCCACCUCGCAAGGCCGAAAUCGGAGAUCUGAGAUAAAGUCAUGGAGAUAAGUGGAUACCAUUUUCACAGGAACUCACAGUGGAGGAGCUACUUCACCUGUGCUUCGAAGCUUUCUGUGAGGAGUAUGUUGGAGGCCUUGAUGUCCCUGUGGAUGAUCCUUCUCCGGCACUGCUUGUGCAGGUAGUGAAGCCCCCGGGCGGUGCCCACCGCGAUGUUGAAGCGCAGCUUCCAAGCUAUCGGCGGGGAAUUCGUAUCUGCAACACAGAAAAGAUCGAGUUUUGAGUGGGCUUCGCUGCAAUUGAUUGGGUGUCGAUGGUUCUACCGUGGAGAUUGGAGGAGACGGAGCCGCGAGGGUAGAAUUCGAAGACCAAAUGGAGGCCGCCGUCGACGCAGCAGCCGAGGAGAGCGGAGACGUUGGGAUGCCGAACGUGGCCGACAGCUCCGAGCUCCGUCAAGAAGUCCUUCUCCCUCUGCUCGUCCGAGGAAGCUCUGGUCAGCCUCUUCACCGCGAUCGCUCCGCCGUCCUCCGUCACUCCCCUGUACACCUCCGCGUAGCCGCCCCUGCCCACUAAAUUGUCUGCACCGAUCCAGAAUCCACCAAGACCAGAUUUUGAGGACCAAAUCCCAAAGAAACUGAGCUCGAAUCCCAGAAAAAACAGACCUUUGUGGAAGCCAUCAGUUGCUUCGACGAUUUCUUCGUAAGAGAAGCAUCUCCAGCUCGGUCUCAGAUGUGAAAUCUCCAUCUCGUUGAUCUGUUUAACAGAGAAGGCUUUAUCCUCGGUGUUAUCAUCUUCUCCGCUGCUGUUCCUCCUCUUUCCGAUAGCAACAAAGAGGAAGCGCUUGAGGUUUCUACUUUUUGCGUACAACUGUCUCAUUCUUUCUCCUCGGUUACCCUGUCAGGCCAAAGAAGAGAGAGCCUCACACACCACCUAUUGGCUUGUAAGCAUAGGUGGAAUACAGAGAAGGAAAAGGAGGAGAGGAGAAGACCAAAAUGAUCCAAAUCAAAUGGGCAAUGAAGGUGGGAUGGUUGGAAGGAGAUACAGAGGCUUUAAUGAGGAGAUGCGUCGCUUUUCUAAGGGAUUUAAAGAUCAUGCUAUCAAUGACUUGAAAUCUUUAUCUACUAGGCUAAUUGACAUGUUAUACCACUCUAACACCAAGGUAUGUUCUAGGUAUGAAAUUUAUCGGAUGAGGUUUAGAUUUGUUAAAAAUUGAUAAUUAGGUCUAUUAUAUAAUCACAAGAUCAAUGUUUUAGAUGAAAAUAUAUAUAAUGAGAGUUCAAACCUUCCACUUAAGACAAGUGAAUUAGAUAAUCAUCACUAGGAUAAUGUUUUACAUUAAAAAAAUUAAAUAAUGUUUCAAGGUUUGAAAAUACAAAAGUGAAUUUUGCAUGUCUAAUUUUUUUUAAUUUAUUAUUUCUUUCACACAUAUUUCAAAUAAUAUUUCUUGCACCUUUAGUCUCUUUCAUGGACCCAACUCAGCCUCUCACUUCACAACAUCUUUACCACCUGACAAACCAAAUCACUCAGAAACAGAGGAGGCAUCUUAUUAUGAUGCUUUGUAUUUGGUAUUUGAAGAGACAUUACUCUAAACAAAUGAUGGAUUACUAUGGGUAUGAAUUAAGUAACUUCAUCUACCAGUCUUUCUUUCUUUAAGAGAAGUGUUAAUAGUAGUCUUUGAUGGUUAAUCUUGUAUGCAAUUUGAUUGUCUGCAAGUUUCUCUUAGCUCAUACAAGUAGCAACUGAGCCAUAUGUAGAGCAGAGCCCUACUAGCAGUAGGAUACUUAGCAUAUCAUAUCAUCCUAACAAGGAGACAACUUAGCUCUUGUCUUGGCCCAUGAAGGAGAACUCAUCCUGUUUAAUUAGCACAAUAAACAAUGCCAGCAUAAAAAUCUCAUUAGAUUUAACAAUUUUACAUUGUGUACAUGUUGAACAAUUUUACGGAAAUAUAGGAUGGGCUUCAACAAAACAUAUAGAAGGGAUGACGGAGGAGAAGAUAUAAGACACUGAUAACUAAGAUUUUUUAUUCAUAUUAAUCACUUACAAUCUCUUAAUAUCUCAAACCUAAUGUCUAUCAACCUCUCUUAUUUAUACAUUAAUAUCUUUAUUUAUCUUUUUCUCUCUUGAAUAAUCAAUUCAUUACAUUACCCCCUGUUUAUAUAGGAGUGAAGCCAAGAGUUUAAUUGCAAUUAAAACUAAGACUUUUAAUCAUAUAUCAUAUUUUUAUCUAAUCGUAAAGUUUAAUUUAAUAUUUCAAGAGUAUAAGUACUCACUGAAUCACACACUCUUUUAUUUGGUCAGAUAUAUUUUAUUUAUUUGAUCAUAUAUAUAUGAGAUCUACGUGUUCCUAAAAACAAAUGUGAGAAACACUGCUGCCCUGUGAACAGAACAGCUACAAAGAAAGGACAGUUUGAUCAAUGGAGUUUUUUGUUCAAGAAAUGAUCCAUUUUAGUUGUCUUCAAGACUUGGAUUGCUUGAAUCAUUUUAUGAUACUAUGAGUAAUACUGAUUGGGGGGGCCAUGUUGAGAUAAAACUUUGUUGUCUCUACACAAAUUAGCUUCAUUCUUUACACCUAAAACACCUCCAUCAUUAUGAAUCACUAUGUUGACAAACAGAUGAUACUUUUAAGACCUUUUCAAGAGAAUACAAAAAUGUCACAGUUGCUGAUUGUGAGUCAGAGAAGUGGUAGAAAUGUCAGUGUCAUGUCUACAACUAUCAUGAGAUAUGAUUGGAGGAAACAAGACAAUUCUAUGAAGUGUGGCAUUGAUCAAUACUCAGAAAUAUUUAGAAAAGGAUAGUUGAAGAAUGUUUAAACUAAUUGUCUUUGAUUUGAUUGCAGCUACAUGUGUCGUUUUUUGUGCAGAUACAAAGUCUUGGUCUUGGGAGUUAUGAUGUCUUCAAUCAAUCUAUA